rnacentral:rRNA from 1 species
UACGUAGGGGGCGAGCGUUGUCCGGAUUUAUUGGGCGUAAAGCGCGCGUAGGCGGUUCGUUAAGUCGGAUGUGAAAAUCCGGGGCUCAACCCCGGACCUGCAUCCGAUACUGGCGGACUGGAGGCAGGCAGGGGAGAUCGGAAUUCCUGGUGUAGCGGUGAAACGCGCAGAUAUCAGGAGGAACACCGGUGGCGAAGGCGGUUCUCUGGGCCUUACCUGACGCUGAGGAGCGAAAGCGUGGGGAGCGAACAGG